rnacentral:rRNA from 1 species
AGUGGAUGGGGAGCAACCUAUGUUGUGCGUGUGUAAAGGUAGUGCCAAGAAAAGCGAUGAUCAUGUUGAAAAUCAAUUCCCGGUACCCGAAACCGACACAGGUGGGCAAGUAGAGAAUACUAAGGGGCGCGAGGUAACUCUCUCCAAGGAACUCGGCAAAAUGACCCCGUAACUUAGGGAGAAGGGGUGCCACCGAGAGGUGGUCGCAGUGAAGAGGCCCAGGCGACUGUUUAGCAAAAACAUAGGUCUCUGCAAACUCGAAAGAGGAGGUAUAGGGGCUGACGCCUGCCCAGUGCCGGAAGGUUAAAGAAGUUGGUCAGUUUUAGGAUGAAGCUAGCGACUGAAGCCCCGGUGAACGGCGGCCGUAACUAUAACGGUCCUAAGGUAGCGAAAUUCCUUGUCGGGUAAGUUCCGACCCGCACGAAAGGCGUAACGAUCUGGGCGCUGUCUCGGAGAGAGGCUCGGCGAAAUAGGAUUGUCUGUGAAGAUACGGACUACCUGCAUUUGGACAGAAAGACCCUAUGAAGCUUUACUAUAGCUUGGAAUUGUGUUCGGGCUUCCUGUGCGCAGGAUAGGUGGGAGGCGUAGAAGGUAUUCUUGUGGGGAUACUGGAGCCAACGGUGAGAUACCACUCUCAGGAGGCUAGAAUUCUAACUUAAUUAAGGACAGUUUCAGGUGGGUAGUUUGACUGGGGCGGUCGCCUCCAAAAAGGUAACGGAGGCGUACAAAGGUUCCCUCAGACUGGUUGGAAAUCAGUCGAAGAGUGCAAAGGCAGAAGGGAGCUUGACUGCGAGAAGUACAGUUCGAGCAGGGUGGAAACACGGUCUUAGUGAUCCGACGGUGCUGUGUGGAAGGGCCGUCGCUCAACGGAUAAAGGUUACUCUAGGAUAACAGGCUGAUCUCCCCCAAGAGUUCACAUCGACGGGGAGGUUUGGCACCUCGAUGUCGGCUCAUCGCAACCUGGGGCGGAAGUACGUCCCAAGGGUUGGGCUGUUCGCCCAUUAAAGCGGUACGUGAGCUGGGUUCAGAACGUCGUGAGACAGUUCGGUCCAUAUCCGAUGUAGGCGUGAGAAUAUUGAGAGGAGCCUUCCUUAGUACGAGAGGACCGGGAAGGACGCACCGCUGGUGUACCUGUUAUGAUGCCAAUUGUAAACGCAGGGUAGCCAAGUGCGGAGAGGAUAACCGCUGAAAGCAUCUAAGUGGGAAGCCCACCUCAAGAUGAGUAUUCUGGUGUAAGGUCACGGGAAGACGACCCGUAAAUAGGCACGAGGUGGAAGUGCAGAGAUGUAUGAAGCCGAAGUGUACUAAUAGACCGUCGGCUUGAC